UGCCAGCAGCCGCGGUAAUACGUACCGGACAAACGUUAUUCGGAAUCACUGGGCUUAAAGAGUACGUAGGCUGCCUUGUAGGUGAGAUGUGAAAUCCCACGGCCUAACCGUGGAACUGCGUUUCAAACCACAAGGCUUGAGGGAGACAGGGGUGAGCGGAACUGAUGGUGGAGCGGUGAAAUGCGUUGAUAUCAUCAGGAACACCAGUGGCGAAAGCGGCUCACUGGACCGAUACUGACGCUGAGGAGCGAAAGCUAGGGGAGCGAACGGGAUUAGAUA
rnacentral:rRNA from 1 species